CCAACCCAAAGAGAAUAGAUUUAACCAUUAAGGAAUAACAACAAUCUCCAUGAGUUGGUAGUUUCGGUUGGGGUGACCUCGGAGAAUAAAAAAUCCUCCGAGCGAUUUUAAAGACUAGACCCACAAGUCAAAUCACUCUAUCGCUCAUUGAUCCAAAACUUGAUCAACGGAACAAGUUACCCUAGGGAUAACAGCGCAAUCCUAUUCAAGAGUCCAUAUCGACAAUAGGGUUUACGACCUCGAUGUUGGAUCAGGACAUCCUGAUGGUGCAACCGCUAUCAAAGGUUCGUUUGUUCAACGAUUAAAGUCCUACGUGAUCUGAGUUCAGACCGGAGUAAUCCAGGUCGGUUUCUAUCUAUUACGUAUUUCUCCCAGUACGAAAGGACAAGAGAAAUAAGGCCAACUUUAAAUCAAGCGCCUUAAGACAACCAAUGAUAACAUCUCAACUGACAACACAAAACCCUGCCCUAGAACAGGGCUUAGUU
rnacentral:rRNA from 1 species